GUUGAUUUUUAAUGAAAACGAAUUUUUCAUUUCCUACAUAAAUAUUUAUAGUUACGCUACUUGCUGAUUUACUAUGGAAUUGGUAAAAAUGGAAAAUCGUUUGGGAGAUAAAAACGCUGGCGCCCUAUAAAAUUAACUGCCAAAAUAUUGAAUAGAUAGUAAUGAUAUGUAUUAAAAAUGAAUGGACUCUAAAAAGAAUAAUAAUGGAUUUGGGGUUCAAAUUGCAGCUAAUAAUGUCGAAAAGAUCCUUCUGUGUAUUUUAUCCCGACUGGAGCCGCCUGGGUGGUUUGACAACAUGUUAAUGCCUUGCUGGAGGUGUAGGUAUUAUAAAAAGGUAAAGCGAGCCGCGUCGUUUGCUAAUUUCCUGCGACGUAUUCGUUUAUUUCUCCCUUAAAAGUUGUAAUUAAACUGCAGCCAAACCCCACAUUAUUUAUAACCAAAAUUUAUCGAUCGUUGUUCUCAAAGUGUAAUUAAACAAUUAGUCUACGUUGUACUAUCCUUACACAUGGACAUAAUGUUACUUGCAAACGUCAAAUACCUGCAGGUAGAUAAAAUGAAACGCAGUGGGAGGUUGAAAACCAUUAGACAGGAUCGUCUUUGUUAGAGGCGCCAUUUAAAACCCAAGGCAAAGAGAAACCUUUGAUGGACAGUCUAAAGGUAGUGUUUAUCUUAGCUCAUGACGAAGCUACUAUACACAAACUACAAAGGGCGGCGCGCCUAUAAACCAACAAGUUUUCAAUUUUUUUUAAAACGUACAUUCGCCUCCAACAUAAUUUACAGCUUAUAAUUAGGUUUAAAAAAUGAAUAGGUAUAAAGCCAA